rnacentral:lncRNA from 10 species
GAGCGGGGAGCAAGGCCUGCGGGGAGGCGCAGGAUGGACGCGUUGGCUGUCAUGAUGUAGGACCUCCUGACCUAGAACCAUGCCCGGCGCAGGGAGAACAACGAGCUUACGGACCGGGUGCGGGGGCUGCUGUGCGAGAAAGCCUACCUGCUGGCCCGGGAGCGUUCGCCGGCCCACCUGGUGGCUUUCCCUGGACGUUUAACGGCGACUCCGCCCGGCCUCCCGACUUUUUGAUGCAGGCGUUCUCUUACAUGACUUUCUUCGAGGCUAGAUUCUCGAAAGACAUCCUGAAGGUGGCUUUCUUAAUUAGCUGCCUCACCGGCUGGCGGAGCAGUUCGUAGUCGCCUACAUCGAGAGGGAGAGCCCCGUCCUGGCUCAGUACUGGGGCUUCGUGGACGCGCUGUAGCGGGUCUUCGCCGUCGUGGGUAGGAAACAGUCGGGCCGGAUCCCCGGUGUCUGGGGAGCGGCUGCCGGCCGGGCCCGCGCGAGCCGCUUCACUCCUACAAGCCCGGCUCACUAGUUCCAAGCUGCUGGACUUUGACCCUCGCUGGGAAGCUUGAUCGCCGCCUGUUCUCGCCAAUCUCUAUGCCUUUGCACUGCCCAGCAACCCGGUCACUGCCCAGGACCUGUUAAAAGUUGAAUGGACCUCCCAGAAUCACGCCGCUGCCACCGCCGUUUCUAGAGACGGCUUUUGGCCACCUUUGAGAAUCAGGGUCAAACUUGGAAGGGCCUGCAUUUGUCACACUUCCUCGGACACUAAUUUGGAUAGUUCAGGCCCAGAGACGGCUUCCCGGGUUAGUGUGCCUGACAACACUGAAGAAAAAUUGUGACAUUUUCCUUCCCCAGAAUUACUUCGUUUUAUACAUUUCACUUCUCUUCUGAAAUCACAGCAAUGCCAGUUUGCGCCUUUUGGUCUGAGGAACGCAGGCCCUGGCCACUACCAGGAAAAAGUACACAAGGCUUGCUUGUAGAGAUGGAGUUACAUGGAGGGACAGAAGGUCACUGGUCAGUGAUUUUAGGUUUUUAUACUUCUGAAAACAGGUAAUUACAGAUUCUGAUCAGUUUAUCAUUUUCUUUAGUCUUUUAUUUUCUGCUGAAUGCUCUCAAGGGAACGGAUCCAUACCUGUUUAUCAGGCUCACCUGGAAGAGCCAAGUCAUCCACUCAGGUCUUCCUCUGGACCUGCAUAAUUUCCUCAUUUACUAGAUUGGGUUUCUUUUAUGUGUGGGCUUUUAAUGCUUGGUAUCUCUGGUCUUCCUAAUAUGUAAUGCUUAGCAUAAUAAUUUUAGCCAUUAUUCAUUUUUGUAGUAGGCUUCACUAGCUUCCUGCUUCUCAAAUCCCUUGAAAAGAUGAGAUUUUUUUUUCGUGGAGUUCACGUCUAGUAAGUUGGUCUUGAUUUUUUUUUUCUUUCAGAACCUUCUGGAUUUCAGCUUUGGCAAGCUUCCUCUGUUUCUGAGACACCUCCAUCACCUGGGUUACAAUCCCAUCCAUGAUUUUCCCCAUCUCCAGGCAUUUUUCAUGGAAAGCUCCUCAUGCUUUUUAAUUCCAGUUUAUCCAUUUGUGUGGCUUUAACCUCCACAUCCAGGUCUUUCUGGCUAAACUGCAGUAUAUCCACAAUGGGGCCAAUGGACACAUAAGGGAGGCCCUAUCACAGGAACACGAACACCCGGAGUCGCUAGAAAUCAGAUUCCACCGGCUUUGCUUCAGGCCGACUUCCUAAGGAAGGCAUGGUAGCAUCACAGAUGCUGUUUGUCUCAGUUUCCUGAGAAGCCAGUUUCUUAGAGCUGUCAUUCAAGAGUGGGUCAAAUUUGAGAUAUAAAAACCUUUCUCAAGGUAGACUCUUUGGCCCCUAUGCCUAGUAUGUCAGCUGGGCCUCUGAAGCUCUCCUCUUUGAGGUCCUGGCAGGCUCUGGCCCCUGUUGAGAAGGGGAAGCAGUCAUGUGAACUCAUGUGCUGGAAGAAUCCACUCUACCCCUUCCCUGGCUUCUCUGCUGCAAUUUUUGUCUUUAAACGUAUUUUCAGGUGAUUCCAGUUUGCAUACAUAAUUGAGAAAUAUAAGAUUUGGUCCCCAGUAGAGAGCCAGGUGAACUUAAGAAGGAGUCCAUCUAAGAAAAUUGCACAAUUAUCUAGUUUCACUUGGGUUUAGCUUUUAUGGCUUACUUGAUUUAGUAAUCAAAUGAUUUUCAAAUGAUUUUGAUCAGGUGACUCUUCGUAAACUAGAGAAUGAACUUGAGAGCCGAAUUAGCACAGUUUAAAAAUAAUCAUUUAGUUUUUGUUCUCUAUUGUGUAAAUUAUUGAGGUUUGACUGUCUUGGCUAAACUAAGGCUCAUCUAAUAUCUUUAUUUUUGAUAUCCUAAUUUCUUGCCAAUUAAUUGAAGGUAACAUACUAGCAGACCAGAUAACUACUUAUGCAAACCUCAGAUAACCACUAAUUUAAACAAAAUUAAAUCCUUUGCCUUCCCCAGAUCCUUUGCACAUGGCCUGCUAUCAACAAUCCUCUACAAUGAUUCUCAGCAUCACCUAGGGAGCUUAUGUAAAAUCUCAAAUUCCUGGGCCCUAUCCCCAGAGUUUCUUAUCAAUUUCCUUGAUGGAGAACUAUCAAAGCAGUCAAAGCUAUCAAAAUAAAAAAGAAUUCUGAUUGGGUGCAGUGGCUCACACCUGUCAUUCCAGCACUUUGAGAGGCCAAGGUGGGCAGAUCACAUGAGGCCAGGAGUUCAAGACCAGCCUGGCCAACAUGGCAGAAACCCCAUCUCUACUAAAAAUACCAAAAUUAGCCGGGCAUGGUGGAACACACCUGCAAUCCCAGCUACUCGGGAGGCUGAGGCAAGAGAAUCGCUUGAACCUGGGAGGCAGAAGUUGCAGUGAAACAAGUUGGUGCCAAUGCAUUCCAGCCUGGAUGAUGGAGCGAGACUCUGUCUCAAGAAAAAAAAAACAAAAACAAAAACAGAACUCUGCCUCAUAGCGUCUUUUAAGUUAUACACUGGACCUAUCCUUUCCUCACUGACAGACAUUUUAAAAAUUUUUUGGUAAGGCCUAGUUCAUAUAAAAUGUAAUCCAAGCCAAAAGUUAACAAGAAUAAGGGGAGGAAAGGGGACUCCAAUAGCAGAGAAAGGUAUUUACCUGGGAUAUACACUGCAAGAAAAUCAAAGCUAUAAGAAACGUCCAUGAAUAGUAGCCAUAAGGCAUCAGAGUGAUAAAAUUCCUGUCCCUAGGAGGGAAUAUUGGAGUUUGCCAGAGAAACAGAAUGAGAGAGACAGAGAGGUUUAUUGUAGGAAUUGGCUCAUAUGAUUACGGAGGCUGAGAAGACCCACGAUCUGCCAUCUGCAAGCUGGAGAAUCAGGAAAGCUGGAGGUGUAAUUCAGUCAAGUCCAAUGGCCAGAGAAGCAAGUGUACUGAUAUCCAAGAGCAGGAGAAAAUAGAUGUCCCAGAACAAGCAGAGAGGCUGAUUUUGUCCUUCCUCUGCCUUUUUGUUUCAUAUGGGGCACUGAAUGGACUGAUGCCCAUCCACAUUAGUGAGGGUGGAUCUUCUUUACUCAGUCUACCAGUAGAAAUGUCAAUGACUUCCAGAAACACCCUCACCAACACACGUGGAAAUAAUGUUUUACCAGGUAUCUGGGCAUCCCUUGGUUCACUCAAGUUGACACAAAAUUAACCAUCACAGAAGGAGACUGGCCUUACUCUGAAAUUAGGAAACUAAAGAAGUGACCAGAAUGGAGACUAGGUAGAGACAACUAGUUCUCUACCAAACAUGUACAGUUAUUCGUUGGUAUCUGAAGGGGAUUGGUUCCAGGAACUCUCAGGGAUACCAAAAUCUGCAGGUGCUCAAGUCAUUUAUAUAAAAUAUUACAGUAUUUGCAUAUAACCUUUGCACAUCUUCCAUAUACUUUAAAUCAUCUCUACAUUACUUAUAAUAAUGAAUGUGUAAAUGCUAUGAAAAUAGUUACUACACUAUUGUUUAUUUGUAUUUUUAUUGAAUUGUUUUGGGGUGGGGGGCAGCUGUAUCUUUCUUAGUAAUAGAACCCCUGGUUUUAGCUGGGCACAUGACUGCCCUCAAUAAAGAUUAAAGUACCCCAGCCUUCCUUGAGAUUGUGGCCAUGUGACUGAACUUUAGACAGUGAGAUAUAAGCAGAUAUCUUCUGUGGCAGUGUUAGGAAACUAUUAAAGACAGUAAGAACAUUGCCCUUUGCCUUCUUUUUCCUUUCUUCAUUUUUCUGCCUGGAAUGCAAAUGUGAUGGCUAACACCCUAGCAGCCAUUUUAGAUUAUGAAGAUGAGAGUCACUCCCCAGGAAGGGUGGACCUGAAAGCUGGAUUCUAGAUGUGGAAUGACAAUACCAGCCCUGGACUACCUACCUGUAGGCUGUGUGUGUGUGUGUGUGAUUGACAGAGAGAGAGAGAGAUAGAUACCACAAGUAACACAAAGCAUCAUACCUGGGACUGGGAAGGUUAAUGUUUAAACAUUUUAAAUGUGGCAUUGGUUUGUUGAAGACAGUCAAGCAGUAGGUGCUGCAGGCUUUGUUGAGGCUAGAAAGCUGUUGGUCUUUAUUAGGUGAUGGCAAAACAAUGGAUCACAUUUUCAUGUGCUGUGUCUUGGGAGGCAAAUGAUGAGAAUGUAGGAUUGGGGAAAAUGGUAAGGAAAAUCCAAAAUGUUCAUGUUUUCUAACCCCUUCUUGCCAAUCUUAAAAGAAGGACAAACAGGCUAGAUUAAGCAAGUCUACAGUUACAAUUGGAAGGAAACACAGCCGUACUAAGGAAGUACUCUGUCUGUGGCCUGCAGUCUAGUUUGACUAGGUCCUGUAUUUGAGCUUUGAAAGAGUAAAGAAUACAAGUGCUCGUAUACCCCUGAAGUAGUUACCAGCAGUGACUGCAAGGAGGUAAUCUUAUGGGAUGAAACUAUAACUCUGUAUUAACCAUCAUAUAUAGCAUAUAUGUGUAUAUGUAUGUGUGUGUGUGUAUAUGUGUAUAUAAAUAUAUGUGUGUGUAUAUACACACAUGUACACACCCUACAACCCAGUGAUUUCAAAAAAUUAAACAUUUGUUUAGCUCAUGAAUCUGUGGGUUGGGUGAACAUUUCUAUUGGUCUUGGCUGGGCUCACCUGUACCCAGUCAGCUGCAGGGUCUAGCUCUUCUUAUCUUGGCUGGGAUCUCACACAUGUCUAGGAUCAGCUGCUUUACUAGUCUAGGAUUGUCUUGGCUGAGACAGGUGGACUACUCAGUUCUCCUCCACUGCCUUAUCCUUCAGCUGGCCAGCCCAGAAAUGUUGCCAUGUUUACAGCAUAAGAGCAAGCAAGAAAGAAUAAUAUGCAACCACUUUUCCAAGCCUAAGGUGAAAGGGCGGGCAGAACCUGUGGUGUUAGGAGGCAACUCAUACCAGCCCAUGGGUCUACCGUUUAAUUUUCAGAAAUUUGGCAAGCUGAUUGUUAACACAGCUGUUGUUUAAUUUAUGUACUUGUAAUUAAAUAAUUUACAUUAAAACAAAGAUAAUAGGUACUC